UACGUAGGGGGCAAGCGUUGUCCGGAUUUAUUGGGCGUAAAGAGCGUGUAGGCGGCUAGAUAGGUCCGUUGUGAAAACUCGAGGCUCAACCUCGAGACGUCGAUGGAAACCAUCUGGCUAGAGUCCGGAAGAGGAGAGUGGAAUUCCUGGUGUAGCGGUGAAAUGCGCAGAUAUCAGGAAGAACACCCGUGGCGAAGGCGGCUCUCUGGUACGUGACUGACGCUGAGACGCGAAAGCAUGGGGAGCGAACAGG
rnacentral:rRNA from 1 species